rnacentral:rRNA from 1 species
AACGAACGCUGGCGGCAGGCCUAACACAUGCAAGUCGAACGCCCCGCAAGGGGAGUGGCAGACGGGUGAGUAACGCGUGGGAACGUGCCCUUCGGUUCGGAAUAACUCAGGGAAACUUGAGCUAAUACCGGAUACGUCCGUAAGGAGAAAGAUUUAUCGCCGAAGGAUCGGCCCGCGUCGGAUUAGCUAGUUGGUGAGGUAACGGCCCACCAAGGCGACGAUCCGUAGCUGGUCUGAGAGGAUGANCAGCCACACUGGGACUGAGACACGGCCCAGACUCCUACGGGAGGCAGCAGUGGGGAACAUUGGACAAUGGGCGAAAGCCUGAUCCAGCCAUGCCGCGUGAGUGAAGAAGGCCUUAGGGUUGUAAAGCUCUUUCAGCGGGGAAGAUAAUGACGGUACCCGCAGAAGAAGCCCCGGCUAACUUCGUGGCAGCAGCCGCUGUAAC